GUCCUGCCUGUCCGUCAGACGUGUCAUGAACAGCAGCGAUCUCUGCGGCCAGACUGUGCAGACGUCAGGAGGCUGGGGACACGGCGUCACCGCACAAACAGAGGACAGCGGGGACACGUUCACAUGGAGAUGGAGCGUACAUGUACGGCACAAACAUGCAGGUAAAAGUCACGAUGUUCAGGCUACUUUUGAGCAAAUACACAGCUCAUUUUGUCUUUUUUAAUGUAGAAGACUGAAUCUUGACUCUGUGUUUGCUUUACUGGCUGUAGAAGAAACAUGGAAUCCAAAGUGAGUCCCUGUCUGAAAAUGUCCCACGUCUUCAAUAAGUGAAGGAUGGUGCAGAUCUGAAGGAGGUGUCUGAGAGCUGCUGUCUGACUUGACCUCCACAAAAUAACCGAGUCUGAGUCCAUGACAGCGUUGGGCUUUAACUUCACAUCUCUCCCUCUGAUAACAACACAAGCUGAAGUCCUGAGACGAGGAGAUGAUACGUGACACAUCUGGGUUCAGAGUCUUGCAGCGUCUCUGCGGACCGUCUGGGGACACGCAGCUGCACACAGCAGAAACACAAACACGCACACAAGCUGCACAGAGGAAUGUCGGCACUAUAAUAAUCCACAAAGGACCAGAUCUGGACAAACAGAUUGAGCAGCAUGGGUCCAGGUCAAAGGUCAGAGAUUUGACCCAACAUCUCUAUUGUAAACUGUCAACUUUAGACUGUUCAGUUUAAUCCUGCUCUUAAUCCAGGCCUGCAGCAGGUCAGGCUCAGUCUUUGGAUUAUUUGAGUGAGGACUUGAUUCACUAGAGGAGAGACAUUUGUUUAUUUUCUUUGUCUUUAAGCUUAAAAUCAUCUGUUACCAACAACUUUAGAGAAACCUCUUUGAACCUCUUCUGACACUUAGUUUUGUAAAUAUUAAGUUUGAAAUCAACACAGUUUGAUCAUGAAAAUCUCCCAGUGUGUCUUUAAUGUCAAAACUAUUGCCUAUAAUAAAAGAAGCGUUAAAUUUC